GCGAGUGAAAGCAUCUGAAUUUAUUACGUCUCUAUAUGGCGAUUAACAUAAAUGUACAAUCCUUAAAAAAAAAAAUUCAAAAAAUUUUUUGUAUUCCAUUCAUCCAUUUCUAUCUAAGGGGAACACACUCACACCUAGGGACAAUUUGGAGUGACCAAUUUCUUACCUUGUUGUCAUGUUUUUGGAAUGUGGGAGGAAACCCGGAGGAAACCCACGCAUGCACAGGGAGAACAUGCAAACUCCUGCAGUAGUUCUGGGAAGUGAACCCACAACCUUCCGACUGCAAGGCAACAACCUUACGGACUGAGCCACUGUGCAGCCCGCUAUAGAAUGGCGCUACUAUUAAUAUAUCUCUUAGCAUUUUUACGUCACCGCCGUUCUCGACUGACUACGUAAGAGAAGCAUCCGGGGUCUUUUGUCGCACGUCACACUUCCGUUGAAAACAACACCACGUGCGUUGCCCAUGAACGCAGUAGCUGUCACUUCCAGCGGGAUUAAAAGCGGCAUUUAUUUAACGUAGAAAUGCAGACUGGUUGAAGCUAGUUUGAACCAAAAAAGUCAAGCUUCGGAGAAGGUAGGGGUUGAGUUUGUAGCGGCUAUUUUGCUUGCCAAACGGAACCACCGGUCAAGGAAACCGGUGUCGCUUGAAUUAGCUCAUGUCCUCAAAUCUCCAAACACGUUCGACGUUCACCUUUGAAGGGUUUUGUGAAAAUAGCUCAUGCUAGCAAACGCUUUGCACCUCGUUAUGCUCCUGAAGUAAUUUGUGAAAUGCAAUUAAAUAACAUUACAUUGUAAGAAAGUGAGACUUGGAAGCUAACGUUAACUUGAGGCAGCAAACGCUGACUGCAAACCCGGCCGCUUCAUCUGCUCAGUGACGUGAGCAGUGAGCUCACUGCUCACGUCACUGAGCAGUGGUGUUGGUGGUGGCUCACACCGUCGCUAACGUAUUCCGUCACACACUUUAUUUCUCUUUUCUUUUCUCUUCCAUUCACUGAAAUUGGUGAGAAAUGAUUUGUGUUGUGCACAAUCCACAAUCUGUUUUGUUGUUUUCUUCUCCUCUGACUCCCCGUGUGAAUUUUCUCACGGCGCCUCAGAGUCUCAACCGAGUUUGAGAGAAACGGGAGACUUGAGGGCUCAAGAGUCUCAACCGAGUUUGAGAGAAACGGGAGACUUGAGGGCUCAAGGUGAGCUUAUACCUGCUGCCCCCCAACACACACACACACACACACACACACACACACACACACCGCUUCCCAUGUAGCGUCAGGCCCGCGCUGCUUUGCCCUGAGUGUGUAGGAGUUGCAGCAGUGUGUUGUUGCAGCUUUGUUGCUGCGGUUGCAUGGCUGUGUGACGUGCCGCUCUGCUAACGCUG